rnacentral:rRNA from 1 species
UGAGCAAUCUGCCCUUCACAUCGGAAUAACCAUUGGAAACGAUGGCUAAUACCGAAUAUGACUUCGGAUCGCAUGAUCUGAAGUGGAAAGCUCCGGCGGUGAAGGAUGAGCUCGCGGCCUAUCAGCUUGUUGGUGAGGUAAUAGCUCACCAAGGCGAUGACGGGUAGCCGGCCUGAGAGGGUGACCGGCCGCACGUGGGACUGAGACACCGGCA